rnacentral:lncRNA from 1 species
GUGAAGUUCACCUACAAGAACACCGGCACCUUCUUCGGCAUCCAUGUCGCCGCCGACCCCUUCACGCUCUCCUACUCCCAGCUCAACCUCGCAUCCGGAGACGUAAGCAAGCCCCUUCAGUCACGAUCUCUCCCCCUUGGAUCUGGCCAACAACUCAACCAAAUAUCGCAUCUUUAUAUGUGCUCUGAUCUGACGCUGGCUCCGGAUGGAUCUUGCUGCAGCUCAAGAAGUUCUACCAGGGGCGGAGCGGCCGGAGGACGGUGAGCGUGUCGGUGACGGGGAACAAGGUGCCGCUGUACGGGAGCGGGCCGACGCUGAUGGCGGCGCCGGCGGGGGCCAAGGGGGCGGCGCCCGGCAAGGUGGCGGCGGUGCCGAUGAUCCUCCGGACGACGGUGAGGUCCCGGGCGUACGUGCUGGGGGCGCUCGUCAAGCCCCGCUUCACCAAGGAGAUCGAGUGCAGGGUCGUCAUGAACCCGGCCAAGCUCAACAAGCCAAUCUCCCUUGCCAAGGCUUGCCAGUACUACUGAUCG